rnacentral:rRNA from 1 species
GACGAACGCUGGCGGCGUGCUUAACACAUGCAAGUCGAACGAAGAGCGAUGGAAGCUUGCUUCUAUCAAUCUUAGUGGCGAACGGGUGAGUAACGCGUAAUCAACCUGCCCUUCAGAGGGGGACAACAGUUGGAAACGACUGCUAAUACCGCAUACGAUCUAACCUCGGCAUCGAGGAUAGAUGAAAGGUGGCCUCUAUUUAUAAGCUAUCACUGAAGGAGGGGAUUGCGUCUGAUUAGCUAGUUGGAGGGGUAACGGCCCACCAAGGCGAUGAUCAGUAGCCGGUCUGAGAGGAUGAACGGCCACAUUGGGACUGAGACACGGCCCAGACUCCUACGGGAGGCAGCAGUGGGGUAUCUUCUGCAAUGGACGAAAGUCUGACGGAGCAACGCCGCGUGAGUGAUGACGGCCUUCGGGUUGUAAAGCUCUGUUAAUCGGGACGAAAGGCCUUCUUGCGAAUAGUUAGAAGGAUUGACGGUACCGGAAUAGAAAGCCACGGCUAACUACGUGCCAGCAGCCGCGGUAAUACGUAGGUGGCAAGCGUUGUCCGGAAUUACUGGGCGUAAAGCGCGCGCAGGCGGAUUGGUCAUUUUGUCUUAAAAGUUCGGGGCUUAACCCCGUGAUGGGGUGGAAACUGCCAAUCUAGAGUAUCGGAGAGGAAAGUGGAAUUCCUAGUGUAGCGGUGAAAUGCGUAGAUAUUAGGAAGAACACCAGUGGCGAAGGCGACUUUCUGGACGAAAACUGACGCUGAGGCGCGAAAGCCAGGGGAGCGAACGGGAUUAGAUACCCCGGUAGUCCUGGCC